rnacentral:rRNA from 1 species
UGGGGAAUAUUGGACAAUGGGCGAAAGCCUGAUCCAGCAAUGCCGCGUGUGUGAAGAAGGUCUUUCGGAUUGUAAAGCACUUUCGACGGGGACGAUGAUGACGGUACCCGUAGAAGAAGCCCCGGCUAACUUCGUGCCCG